rnacentral:rRNA from 1 species
UAGAUACCCCACUAUGCUUAGCCCUAAACUUAGAUAUUUAACACACAAAAAUAUCCGCCAGAGAACUACGAGCAAAACGCUUAAAACUCUAAGGACUUGGCGGUACCUCAAAUCCCCCUAGAGGAGCCUGUUCUAUAAUCGAUAAUCCACGAUCUACCUCACCAUCUCUUGCCAAUCCCGCCUAUAUACCACCGUCACCAGCCUACCCCAUGAAGGCCAUAAAAGUAGGCAAAAUAACUAAAACAGUUAACAAGUCAGGUCAAGGUGCAGCUCACUGAGAUGGAAGAAAUGGGCUACAUUUUCUGUACUAGAAAUUAAUUCACGGAAAGGAACUAUGAAAUAAGUCCCACAAGUUGGAUUUAGUAGUAAGCUGGGAUCAGAGUGCCCAACUUAAGUCGGUCCUGAGGUGCGCACACACCGCCCGUC